rnacentral:rRNA from 1 species
GACGAAGGGGGCUAGCGUUGUUCGGAAUUACUGGGCGUAAAGCGCGUGUAGGCGGUUGUUCAAGUCAGGUGUGAAAGCCUUGAGCUCAACUCAAGAGAUGCACUUGAUACUGGAUGACUAGAGGACCGGAGAGGAUAGUGGAAUUCCCAGUGUAGUGGUGAAAUACGUAGAGAUUGGGAAGAACACCAGUGGCGAAGGCGGCUCACUGGACCGGUACUGACGCUGAGGCGCGAAAGCGUGGGGAGCAAACAGG